AUGCUUGCUUCAGCAGCACACAUACUAAAAUUGGAACAAUACAGAGGAGAUUAGCAUGGCCCUUGCGCAAGGAUGACACGCAAAUUCGUGAAGGAUUCCAUAUUUUC
ensembl:snRNA U6 U6 spliceosomal RNA